AAAAGAAAAACACAUUCAACUCACAGUUUCAUGCUCCGUACAUUACUGUAUGAGUUAGCCAUUUGGAAAAAUAUUUCGGUGUUCGAGUAUUUUGGGUUUAAAAUGAGACUCAACGCUGCUAAGGUUUUGAAGCUUACUAGAUCCAAGCCACCCUGAUUUAUCAAGACACUAUUGGCUACUCAACCUAACAUAAGGGACUGGAGAUAUGAAGUUUUCGAUUCAUUGCGGUCCUUAGGCGACAAGAGUCUGACUAAUUGCGCCAAUGUUUUAGUAGCAUUCAUUACAGGUUUAUGAAAAUCACACUUCCGCAGAUCAAAAGUGCAAAUAGACAAAUUCCAGUAACAUGAUGUGGGGGCCCAAAGCAAGAAAAUAUUCACGAUUGCGGCGUAUUCAUGCUCAUGAACGCGGAACCAUGGGAUGGCAGAAACCCUACUGAUUAUGAACAGUCAAAAAUCCCAAACAUAAGGAAGUUGCUUACCCACGCAUGGAUGAACUCUAAGGGAAACACCAUUGAUUGGAAAUCAGUCCUCAAUCUUGAAUAGAAGUAAAGAAGGCAAAGAGAAUAGCAAAACAAUUUGCCUUAGCAACAAUUUGUACAGAAGCAACAAUUGUACAUAAGUUUUUGAUAGGAACAAGUGUUUCUCAUCCUGAAUGACUGCAAACACAGCGGGGCACCUCUUCUCAGGAAGCUUUUUGGCAUGGGUGUUUUCUAUGUACUACAGCGCCUGCAAUGCCUCUUGUUUUCGCUUCAGAAAUACUGUUGUCCCACAACCUUCUUACCAUUAGAAUGUUCUUAGUUUGGAUCCGGAUCUGACAAUUAUGUGCCAAGCAGCAAAGUAGC